rnacentral:rRNA from 1 species
UACAGAGGUCUCGAGCGUUAAUCGGAGUUACUGGGCUUAAAGGGUGCGUAGGCGGCGCUGUAAGUGCUUUGUGAAAUCCCAUGGCUUAACCAUGGAAUUGCUCGGCAGACUGCAGCGCUUGAGGUCGGUAGGGGUCGCUGGAACUCUAGGUGGAGCGGUGAAAUGCGUAGAUAUCUGGAGGAACACCGGUGGCGAAGGCGGCGUUCUGGACUGCAACUGACACUGAGGAACGAAAGCCAGGGGAGCAAACGGG